rnacentral:rRNA from 1 species
UGCCAGCCGCCGCGGUAAGACGGGAGAUGCAAGCGUUAUUCGGAAUUACUGGGCGUAAAGCGCACGUAGGCGGAUUGGAAAGUAGGGGGUGAAAUCCCAGGGCUCAGCCCUGGAACUGCCUCCUAAACUAUCAGUCUAGAGUUCGAGGGAGGUGAGUGGAAUUCCAAGUGUAGAGGUGAAAUUCGUAGAUAUUUGGAGGAACACCAGUGGCGAAGGCGGCUCACUGGCUCGAUACUGACGCUGAGGUGCGAAAGUGUGGGGAGCAAACAGGAUUAGAUA